GUCUACGGCCAUACCACCCUGAACACGCUUGAUCUCCUCUGAUCUCAGAAGCUAAGUAGGGUCGGGCCUGGUUAGUACUUGGAUGGGAGAAACCAGGGCAGGAAGUG
rnacentral:rRNA from 1 species